GCUGUCUGAAAUGCUGUAAAAUGGGAUAUACAUAUGCCGCCAUCUGCUGGAUGAAAACAUUCAUUACAUUUAUUUCAGUUUAAAGCAGUGGUUCUCAAGUCCAGUCCUCGAGGCCCACUGUCCUGCAUGUUUUGGAUGUUUCCCUGCUCCAACACACCUGAUUCAGAUGAUUAGCUCGUUAUUAAGCCAUUACAGAGCUUGAUAACGAGCUGAUCAUUUGAAUCAGGUGUGCUGGAGCAGAGAAACAUCCAAAACAUGCAGGACAGUGGGCCUCGAGGACUGGACUUGAGAACCACUGGUUUAAAGGGUCUAGAAGUCAAACAGUCAAGGAAGUAUUAAAAUACAUUUCAAUUGAAGUCAAAUGAACCCAAAACUGAAGCAGAUAAAGAACUCUGAGUAGUUUUUAGGAGCAGCUGAUAAAGUGAUCAAAUAUUUCUAAAGUAUGACAAAGUUUUAUCACUUGUUCUGGAGUCUGAGAAUCAAACACUUUCAUUCUUUUAGUUUCUUUUGUUUAUCCUCUGAGCAAUAGAUGGCUAUUAGAUGUUUAGUUUUUUUUUUUUUAGACCUAAUUUCAACCGUCUACAUUCUGUAUAUUUUCAGGAGAAAAUUUAGACAUUGCACUUUGACCCAUUAUUUGAUAAUUAUUUAUUUCAAAAAGCAACUGUGAGUUGCAUAACUGGGGUCCGUUUCACGUAGGUGGUUCAACAAACUCUGAGUUAAAUCCUUAACUCUGAGUUGAUCUACUCUGAGUUAGGAAACUCUGAGUUUCCGGUUUCACAAUACCUGAUUUGAGACGGUUUUAACAACUCCGAGUAGUUUGACCUGGAGUUAAGCACGUGCACGCCAGACAUAAACAGCCAGCAUCUGUGGAGCGCAG